GUCCGUUUGAGCUGUUUCCUUGCGAUUUAAGAUGGCUGCAGCAGCUUGAAGGAUGCCCUGAUGCGACAGAAAAGUUAGAGAGCGGAAAACGGUUUUCUCCUCACAUUCUUGUUUCUUUCAUCAGGGAAGACACUCCUUCCCGGAAAUCUCCAGCAACUUUCAAGUGUGCUUAGCCACAAGGGAUGAUGGGAAAUGAGUCUAUGGCAUUUCAAGCCUCCAUCGUGGAAGCAGGCUCCGCCCAUAGGACGCAGGGGAUAAAACUGGCUGUGGGUAGACAACUGAACAGUAUCUACUCCACAGAACCACACAGCAGCCGUAAUCUAGUUUAAGGAGCACUAGGCCAGCCUCCGAAGACCCAAAUUUCAUUUUGUCUCUGCCAGUAACUCACUGUGUGAACUCAGGUCCUAUGAAUUCCCUCCAUGGUGAUCCACCUGUACUCAGUAACCCACAUGUAUCUAAGUGUGGGAGAGAUAAAUGGCAAGCCCUCAGUGAGACAGGAAGCCAACAGCUUUGAUCCCACUUGUUUAAGGCUGGGAAAUGGAGUUACCUUAGACCAACAGAUGGAAGCCAUGUGUUAAGGAUGGCAGAGAUAAGCCACCAGCUUGGGUUGUAGGAUGCAUUUGCAGAUCAGACCUACUUACUCAUCCUGGACCACGGCCUAUCACUGGUCUGUUAG
rnacentral:lncRNA from 1 species